GAAGAAUGAGAUGUUAUCUAAUUUUAAUAUAUAAACACAAAUCCAGAUGCUAUGGAUAGGAAGUGUGACCUGGCUAGCUCCACAGUUAUGUUUGUUGAUUAAUUGAUUGAUCAACAAACAAAAACCUGUUUGCUUGAAAAAACCUCCCAAAAUGCUUCCUUUUAACACGAGUUACCUGCAGCUACUAUUUUAAAUGUGUUGAUGACACACCUAUUUAUUAUCUAUACAUGCUGCCUCCAUCCCUAAAUAAAACAGGGCUGCAGGUGUUCCUUUUCAGCAGAAAAUCCAGUGGCAUCACUCCAGCCUUGUAUCCAGCUGUUUCGCUUUAGUCUGAAGGCCCUCUUGUCUUCUAUAAUAUUUCUACUGAAACAAAUAUCCCUCUUUUGUGUUAG